AUUGAACGCUGGCGGAAUGCUUUACACAUGCAAGUCGAACGGCAGCAUAGGUGCUUGCACCUGAUGGCGAGUGGCGAACGGGUGAGUAAUACAUCGGAACGUGCCCGGUCGUGGGGGAUAACGUAGCGAAAGUUACGCUAAUACCGCAUACGAUCUACGGAUGAAAGCGGGGGACCGUAAGGCCUCGCGCGAUUGGAGCGGCCGAUGUUAGAUUAGGUAGUUGGUGGGGUAAAGGCUCACCAAGCCGACGAUCUAUAGCUGGUCUGAGAGGAUGAUCAGCCACACUGGGACUGAGACACGGCCCAGACUCCUACGGGAGGCAGCAGUGGGGAAUUUUGGACAAUGGGCGCAAGCCUGAUCCAGCCAUUCCGCGUGCAGGACGAAGGCCUUCGGGUUGUAAACUGCUUUUGUACAGAACGAAAAGCUCUGGGUUAAUACCCUGGGGUCAUGACGGUACUGUAAGAAUAAGCACCGGCUAACUACGUG
rnacentral:rRNA from 1 species